rnacentral:rRNA from 1 species
GCCGCGUGCGGGAUGAAGGCCUUCGGGUUGUAAACCGCUGUCAGAGGGGAUGAAAUGCAGGUGGGUUCUCCCAUCUGUUUGACAUAGCCUCAGAGGAAGGACGGGCUAAGUUCGUGCCAGCAGCCGCGGUAAGACGAACCGUCCAAACGUUAUUCGGAAUUACUGGGCUUAAAGGGUGCGUAGGCGGCGCGGAAAGUUGGGUGUGAAAUCCCUCGGCUCAACCGAGGAACUGCGCUCAAUACUACCGUGCUCGAGGGAGAUAGAGGUGAGCGGAACUUAGGGUGGAGCGGUGAAAUGCGUUGAUAUCCUAAGGAACACCGGUGGCGAAAGCGGCUCACUGGAUCUCUUCUGACGCUGAGGCACGAAAGCUAGGGUAGCGAACGGGAUUAGAUACCCCGGUAGUCCUAGCCGUAAACGAUGAGCACUGGAUUGAAGGGUCCUCCAUAGCCUUUCAGUCGCAACGAAAGCGUUAAGUGCUCCGCCUGGGGAGUAUGGUCGCAAGGCUGAAACUCAAAGGAAUUGACGGGGGCUCACACAAGCGGUGGAGGAUGUGGCUUAAUUCGAGGCUACGCGAAGAACCUUAUCCUAGUCUUGACAUGCACGGAUUAACUCCUGGAAAC